rnacentral:rRNA from 1 species
GUAACACGUAGGUAACCUGCCCAUGUGCCCGGGAUAACUUCUGGAAACGGAUGCUAAAACCGGGUAGGUAGCAGACAAGCAUUUGACUGCUAUUAAAGUGGCUUUGGCCAUGAACAUGGAUGGACCUGCGGUGCAUUAGCUGGUUGGUGAGGUAACGGCCCACCAAGGCGACGAUGCAUAGCCGGCCUGAGAGGGCGGACGGCCACAUUGGGACUGAGACACGGCCCAAACUCCUACGGGAGGCAGCAGUAGGGAAUUUUCGUCAAUGGGGGGAACCCUGAACGAGCAAUGCCGCGUGAGUGAGGAAGGUCUUCGGAUCGUAAAGCUCUGUUGUAAGAGAAAAACGGCACUCAUAGGGAAUGAUGAGUGAGUGAUGGUAUCUUACCAGAAAGUCACGGCUAACUACGUGCCAGCAGCCGCGGUAAUACGUAGGUGGCGAGCGUUAUCCGGAAUGAUUGGGCGUAAAGGGUGCGUAGGUGGCA